AUGCAGCGAUUUUCUCUUUAGCUUCUUGUUGUGUAAUGCAAACUCAACAGUUUUUUUCAUUUUAUUAUAAGCAUUUUUAUAAUAUUAUAACUAGCAUCAUCACAUGGGCUUUUUUAGCUUGAUUAUGGAUGUCAGCUCAUGGUUUUUGAUGCCGGAACCUAAGCUACAGCAAGAAUGGCGCCAUUCAUGAUUCAACCAAAAAUAGCUUUUCUCCAAGCAAUUGAGUUCAGAAAUUUCUGUUAGAGAUUUGGAAUAAUUUAAAAAUAUGCUAUGAACUAGCAGCACUACAUUGAAAUUUAAUUACAAGUAGCAUUCUUCUUUCAUUAAAUAAAUCUUCGUUUGCACAAAAAGUUUUCCAAAUCUUUGUCCAUACAACUACCUUGGAACAAAAGCUAGUUCCAUUAGCAGCAUAUUACGUUUCUUUUAUCGUGGUGUCAUCAUUCCUUUGAUUACUAUCCUUUGGAAAUUAUCUCAUGCUAUGUUCUGUUUUCGGAUCUCAUACAAGCAGGUGUGACAAAGCUCCAUUUAAUCUCUAUGCAUGGUUUUCUUAAGCGUGAUGCAUAAGUAAUUGGACUAAUAGUAUUUUUUUUAUAACCGGCAUUUAAAUUUUUGUACAUUUUUGUUAUUCUCCCUACGUAUCACAAUUAAAUGUUGUAGGAAUAGUUACUUGAUUUGUUGACUGAUUUAGCUGUUUGUGACAUGAAAGACAAAAUAGAACAAGUGACUAGAUGGUGUGACUUUUUAAGGUUAUGAUAGCUAUAGCUCCUUUCCUAGCAAGCAAAUUUCUUUUAUGCUGAUGAUGUAAAUCAAGUUCAACAUGUAAAGAUUUUCUUCAAGAAUCAAUGUCAAGCAAUAGUGUACCAGACAAGCUUGGUAGAAUUAGCUCCUUUUUCUUUUUGUCUACACAACGGCAUCUGUGCAACAGAGUGAUGACCAGAAUCGGGGAAAAUAGUUGCUUACUCUUAUGUGACGGAGAUGGUUUUGGCAGAAUCGUUGAUGCCUUAUGUGGGAAGUUUUCCUAGUGAGUUCUUUUGAUGGAUCACAAUCAUUGUUCUUGUGGAGUGUCCAAAUUGGCUUAAAGGUUUCACUACUUUUGCCAUUACUUUGCAACUGAAGGCUAUAGAGUAGAUUAAGACAGCGCAGCUAUAAAUGCAAUCAACAAGUUAUCAAUGCAUCUUAACCUUGAAUUUCACAUCUGCAGUUUUGGCUACAUUAAAGGACCUAUCGAUGACUUCCUGACCAUUUUUAGGUUAGCAGACCAUGGAGCCCAAAAGCAUGAAUGAGAUAGGAGAAUUGCAAGUAGCCUUUUGUGGAAGUAACCAAGGUGUUAUCUAAUCAAGCAUCUCAGCCCGGAAUUUCAGCCUAACUAUUAUCAGCAAGGGCUGCCUGUAUGAAGAGUCCUGUGAAUGAUUAUUUGGCAGAAUCCUUUUACAUGGGAACACAAGGUAUCUUCUGAAGGAGAUACAUACCAUAUGGCAACAAGAUGUGACAAGUCUCCAUUUCUUCAGUUCUGAAGCAGCAUGUACUACGUAGACACAAACAUGUGCCCAGUCAAAUUGAAUGUUUAUUUUUCGCCAGGAACCUGGUCUUGCAACGAUUUAAAUCCAGAGAGUGGUGGUAAAGCAUGCAUAUGGAUGGUGAAAUGGGAUAAAAGCUACGAUUUAUAGCAAGAGCAGUCUCGAGUGGGCAUAAUGUAUCCCGUCUCAAAACCCAGCUAGCUGCUUGACAUUGAGCUUUCUGUAUCUCUGUGUUUCUGAAUCUGCUUCUCGGACAACAUAUCCUAAAUGCGAACAGACAAUAGUUGAGCAUAUAAGAUGGAGCAUCCAAUAUCAAAGGAAAGCAGUUACUCGUUGCAAGAAUAAGUGCAAUUAAUGGUCUCAAUGAAAAAAGGCACCUCCUUGUCAUCUCUAUCGGCAUUCAUUGACUGAAUGCAGCCGAAAACAAGAGAGGUAGAGUGUGUUCUGCUCCAGCUGCUGCCCCUUCUAUGCCAGCCACCAUCCAGCUUCUUUCCACCACCGUAUAUAUUUGAGAGAGGGGCAAAAACAAAGAGAAAUGGAGAGGAAAUAUGAUUUUUUGAGUCUGUGAACAGUGCAUCAUCAAAUCGUGACAUGGAGCUCGUUUGCUGUCCGAUCGUUCUGUAAGGCAGUUAAUUGUGGGUAAACCCGAAACUGCAGUUUUUGUGUCUUUUGGGAUUAUUCUCUUCAUAAAUUUUGAUAUUUUGUUCCUAUUUUUGCUGAGAUUGUUGUUAUUGGUUUUGUGAAGUUUAUGAUGUUUGUAUGCCUUUGUAUUCCCAUUUUGGUGAUAA